rnacentral:lncRNA from 1 species
AUAUGGGUUGGGAAUGAUGACAAGGAAGUUGGGAUGGAGAAUAGAGGAUAUGGGCUUAGAAUGAGUAUGGAGAGGUUGGGACAUACAACAUGUGUUGAUAAUAGGAAGAUUGAGGAUAGAGGCUAGAAAUUAGGAAACAAAGAUGAGAGAAGAGGGACAAGAAGAUGAGGAGGUGUAAUGAUGGUUUUGAUAUAUAGGUCGAUCUAAUAAAA